rnacentral:rRNA from 1 species
AGAUGCGGAAGUGCCUUCGGGAACUGUGAGACAGGUGCUGCAUGGCUGUCGUCAGCUCGUGUUGUGAAAUGUUGGGUUAAGUCCCGCAACGAGCGCAACCCUUAUCCUUUGUUGCCAGCGAUUAGGUCGGGAACUCAAAGGAGACUGCCAGUGAUAAACUGGAGGAAGGUGGGGAUGACGUCAAGUCAUCAUGGCCCUUACGACCAGGGCUACACACGUGCUACAAUGGCGCAUACAAAGAGAAGCGACCUCGCGAGAGCAAGCGGACCUCAUAAAGUGCGUCGUAGUCCGGAUUGGAGUCUGCAACUCGACUCCAUGAAGUCGGAAUCGCUAGUAAUCGUGGAUCAGAAUGCCACGGUGAAUACGUUCCCGGGCCUUGUACACACCGCCCGUCACACCAUGGGAGUGGGUUGCAAAAGAAGUAGGUAGCUUAACCUUCGGGAGGGCGCUUACCACUUUGUGAUUCAUGACUGGGGUGAAGUCGUAACAAGGUAACCGUAGGGGAACCUGC